rnacentral:rRNA from 1 species
CCCGGUCAGAUUGAACGCUGGCGGCAUGCCUUACACAUGCAAGUCGAACGGCAGCACGGGGGCAAUCCUGGUGGCGAGUGGCGAACGGGUGAGUAAUACAUCGGAACGUGUCCUGUAGUGGGGGAUAGCCCGGCGAAAGCCGGAUUAAUACCGCAUACGCUCUACGGAGGAAAGGGGGGGAUCUUAGGACCUCCCGCUACAGGGGCGGCCGAUGGCAGAUUAGCUAGUUGGUGGGGUAAAGGCCUACCAAGGCGACGAUCUGUAGCUGGUCUGAGAGGACGACCAGCCACACUGGGACUGAGACACGGCCCAGACUCCUACGGGAGGCAGCAGUGGGGAAUUUUGGACAAUGGGGGAAACCCUGAUCCAGCAAUGCCGCGUGUGUGAAGAAGGCCUUCGGGUUGUAAAGCACUUUUGUCCGGAAAGAAAACCUCUGGGUUAAUACCCCGGGGGGAUGACGGUACCGGAAGAAUAAGCACCGGCUAACUACGUGCCAGCAGCCGCGGUAAUACGUAGGGUGCAAGCGUUAAUCGGAAUUACUGGGCGUAAAGCGUGCGCAGGCGGUCCGCUAAGACAGAUGUGAAAUCCCCGGGCUUAACCUGGGAACUGCAUUUGUGACUGGCGGGCUAGAGUAUGGCAGAGGGGGGUAGAAUUCCACGUGUAGCAGUGAAAUGCGUAGAGAUGUGGAGGAAUACCGAUGGCGAAGGCAGCCCCCUGGGCCAAUACUGACGCUCAUGCACGAAAGCGUGGGGAGCAAACAGGAUUAGAUACCCUGGUAGUCCACGCCCUAAACGAUGUCAACUAGUUGUCGGGUCUUCAUUGACUUGGUAACGUAGCUAACGCGUGAAGUGACCGUC